rnacentral:ncRNA from 1 species
AUAUGUGAUGCUACAACCCAACUGGGGGAUCGCUCGGCUCGAGUGCCGAAGAAGGUCGUGACAAGCUGCGAUAAGCUGCGGGGAGGUGCAUGUAUACCAUGGAUCCGCAGAUUGCCGAAUGGGACUUCCCAAAUAAUCGCGAUGCGAUAGGGAACCCUCCGAAUUGAAGCAUCUUAGUAGGAGGAGGAAAUGAAAUCAAACGAGAUUCCGUUAGUAGUGGCGAAUGAACACGGAACAGGACAAGCCGAAUCCCGAAACGAAAGUGAGGGAGAUGUGGUUGUCGGUCUAUCGUCUAAGUCAUGGAAGGUGAAGUUGCCUGGAAUGGCACAUCCAUAGAGGGUGAAAGUCCCGUAACCGUACAUGAUAUGACCACGUGACCGUCAAAGAGUAGCAUGCGUUGGAAAUCGCGUGUGAAUGUGGGACGCAAAUAGUUCCAAUCCUAAAUACAACUCGAGACCGAUAGUUUACAAGUAACGUGAGUGAAAGCUGAAAAGUAUCCUUAGCGGGAUGUGAAAAGAACGUGAAACCAGUUGGGUACAGGCUGAUUGGG